UUUUAUUAAUGGUAGUAGUAUUUAAGGAUUUCACUUACUAGCAACAAUAUUAUUAUGUAAUUUUGAACAAAUAUUAAAAAAAAUGUUUGUAACAUUUUUCCAAAUAAACAUAUUCUCGCAACUUUAAAAUAUCUUUAUAUGAAAUUUGUAUAUAACGUAUCUAAUAUAAAAUAUCAUAAUUACUUUCUGCAUUGUAUUAUAAUAACGGGUUCUUAUGCUUUUAAAAUAUGUACACAUAAUUAAGAAAAAUAUAAUUCAUAUUCAUAAAAAAUUAAAAUAAGAUUAUAUAAAAUAUAUAAAUAAAUAAAAUUCGGAUAUAAAUAAAUAAGAGCUCGCUUUAAAAGCAAAAUUAAGAUGUGACAUGACAAUCAACUCUCCGCGUGAAAGCAUUUAUUUUUCCCUUUUUUUUUUCUUUUUUUUUACUUUGUAUAAAAUAAAGUUCGUGUUUGGCUUUAUUAUCCAAGAAAAGUUUUCACUUUUCUGUCCGCCAUGGAUAGAUGAACAGAUUAUGAACACUACAAAACUAUAGCUGCUUAAUUUUUAAAAAUAUACUAGCAUAUCUUUUACUUCUGCCAUCCUUUAGAGGUUUGAUGGAGAAUGCCUUUUCCCUAAACUUUUUGAGAGAAAAUGGUUUUUUAAAGUUUAUAUUGAAAAUAUGUUUCUUUUUUUUUUUGGAAUAAAUUUGAAUUAUUUUAUGUUGAUUUUAAAAAAUAUGAAAAAUAUUCUAAAAACCUUUAUAUCAUAUACGAGUUCAUAGUAUCUUUAUGAAGUAUUAGCCAAUAAAAUUAUUUUUUAUAUUUAAGUUUUUAAGUAUAAUUUUGUUUUUAAAAAUAAUUACGAAUAAUUUUUAAGAGUUGUUUUCAAAGCUACAUUUUGAGAAUUGUUUUUGAAAAUGUUUUCAAAUAGAUUAGUUGGGAUGUAAAAAUGUCACUUUUAAAUACAAUGAUGAGUCAUUUAAAUGUUCGCUCUUAAAACAAAUUUAGUAGGUGCUAUGUUAAAUACCAUAAAAUGUUUAGUCAAUCAUCAUUAGAUUUCAAUUAUUUUUAGAUGAAAUGAUCAAAGUUUGAUCAAACAAGUCGUAUCAAAACCAAAGGUCAUGGGUUUGAAUUAUGGGAGCGUCACAUCAAAGAAGAAAUUAUUGGGGUGUAGUAAUACUGCUCUUGUUGGGACGUAGUAAUGUUAUUCUUAAGCUCGGGAAUGGAUUUCCUAAAUGAUGACUCUCAAAACUGGAUCGUAAGAUAUGAUAUUGAAAUAUAAAAAAAGGUUUAACCUACCCUUAUUAGAUACCAAUUGGUCUUUAAAUGAGAUGAUCAAACCCGAACCAACAAGACCCCAAACACUUGUAAAAAGUUAUGAAUGCAGAGACUCUAGAAAGAACAUUAGGAGAAUAAUUCCUCUAUAGAUCUGUAAGCACCCAAUGCACAUCUGUCAACUUAUGAUCCUUUCAUCUGGGCCUUUAUCCUUUGAUCAUAGCUAAAACAUUCCCCAUAUAUGCACUCUUUCAUAUAUAACUUAUAAAAAUGCAUUAUUUUCAAAAUUCUCAGAUAAUUUGCAUUAACUUAAUCAAAUCCUGUUCAAAACCAGCCAAAAUUUUUGCAACAAAAUAUUGAACUAGUGGAGGACAGAUGAGAAAUUGCCAGGAGACAAAAAAAGAUAAAAAUCAUAAAUUAGGCUAACAACAAAUUUGAUAAUCUGUGGAUGUGGGCAUGACAAUGAGGGCUGUUUGGCUAAUAGUUUAGGCUGUAUCAUCUACUAUCAACAUUGUUAACAAGAGGAAGCAAUUCAAUAUUGCCAUCCUCAUUUUUAUUCUCAUUCUCAGGGUGUGAAGCAUGGGCAGCCUGCUUGGUAUUCUGGAGGAUUUGGGAGGGAAUAAUGGAAGAGUUGGGAUCAGUACGGGGUACCAAGAACAGCAGAGCAAGUGGGCUAAGUCUCAGUAUGUUUCGGAUCAAAAUCGCCAUCCACAGAUUAUCAAAUUGUACCCGAGUCACCUUCAAGAUAUGGAGUAGAAAGCCACCUCCCCAUGAGGAUGAGAGUAUUCCAAGGUUGUCAAUUGACAUAAGCAAGGCGAAGAAUGUGCCUUCAAUGCCAGGGGGACAAAGCUUGGAGCUGAGGACAAGAAGUGGCAUCCAUUUGAGCCGUCCUAUCAUUUGAGAUACACCUUCAGCAACGACAAUGAAGAAAUAAUCUGGUAUGCCAUACUUCAAGUUGAGACGCAGCACCAGUAUCAAAUCCAGCAUUCCUGAUAAACCAUAAAGCAACUGAGUCCAGAAGAGCAAGUCCCGGAAGGGGUGGUCCUUUAGAGUAUAUUGGUAGAGUAUGGCACCUAAAAGGGAGCCAACUGAGCCAAUUGAGAAUAUGUAGCCAACAGUCUCCUGCAUAAAGCACAUGAAAAUAUGAAACAAUGCAAACAAGUUCGGGUUUCAGGCCACGAGUUCACAGUACUGAAUAAUUAGGAAAUCCUAUUUUUGGUUAUGCUUUAGAUUGUUCCUAUUCAUCUCCCUUACAAGCAGAGAAGAGUGGAGGCCAGCAUACCUGAGAGAAUAAUGGACCUUCCUUAGAGUCUGUAUACCAAUAGAACAAGCCUUCAUGGAUAUUCAAGCUCAAUGCGAGGGAUAAGUACAUAUACAAACAUGGUCUCCACACAUCUGGGUAUUUCAAUGUUGUCCACAUUGCCUUGCAAGCGUCAAGCAACUUUUGGUUUACCUGAAUAAGAGACUGAACAUUGGAAUUCUGGGUAUAAAAGGAACCAAGAAUCAACAGGAGCCCAUGAAUACCUGUCUGUAAACAAAGUUAGGCGUGUGGGGUUCACUAAGAACAAUUCCAACUAGAAGUACAAGUGUAGCCGGGAUAGUCAGCAAGCCAAACACCCCCUACCAGGGAAAGAGGAAAAAGAUCUUCCAACAGUAAGAUAGUUGUACUUCAUAUGGAAGAUAUGAAACAGAAAAUGUUGGGAUUUUUGGUCCAAGGAACAGUUAUAGAAGCUAACCGUAGGGCCUAUGAGGUGGACAAAAAUACCACUAAUAGAGAAUCCCACUAGUGCACCAACUGAUGAACUUAGUGCACACAGGCUUUGCAUGUCAGCUGCAAGAGAAGGGUGUAGAUUACUGUUCUGAGCCACGCAGGCAUCAAUGGUGACAUCUGCUAUUGCUACCCCAGCACUUCCUGCUGUUAAAGAGAACAAUGCGAGUACAAGAUGCAGGUCUUUGUGAAAUGAUAACACGAGCAUAGAGAUCACACCAAGAAGACCUGCAAUUGAGAUGAAUCAAACUAUCUGAGGAAAAAACUGCUUCAGUUAAACAAUUGUCAUGCUUCUCUCUCAUCCCAUCAAGUGAUCAUUCCAUUUGAGUGCAGGGUUGCUAUCCAGAUAAAGAGCAAAUGCAUAAAAACAACCGUGCAGAUGCAAGGGAAUCUCUGUGUCAGAUAACUUGGUGACCUCCAAUACUAUUUGAAUGUGGGUACAAGAGUCUAAUUGAUUGUCAAAAUAUAAACAAACUAGUUGAAUGAUCACAACAUGAACUUCCUAAAUUUGUAAAAAAGAAUGAUGAAAUAUGGUGCCUUCACAUCCUAGCCAACUGUUCAUGUUGAUGAUGUGCUCAGAUUGGGGCUCAACAUCUGUAAUAAUGGUCAUAAGAGAUUUUAUAUUUCAGUUCAUCAUUUUAACUCUUUCCUUCUUACUUUACAAUAGACAAGCAUUCCUUGUCUACAUUCGAUUCUACUUUUUUUCCUUACCAAUUAAGAAUUAUGCUUCUAAACUGUCUAUAUCACCAAAUGCCUAGCAAAUAGAAGUUAAAAAUGAUCUGAGCUAUUUGUCUGAAAUAUCUAAUCACAGGAAAUUCUAUAUUUUUGCAUAGUUGUAAACUUGAUAAGGUUGAUCCAUACAUUUGGAAGUCUUCUCUUUCUAGGCCUCACUAGUAUAAAUUUUACAUGCACUGAAAGUACUGGAGGAACUCUGAGAUCAGGAGAAGAAUUAUAAAUAUAUGUUUAAUUGCUCCAGGAAGAAAACUGUCACAACUAUAUGGCAUCUUUCAACCUGUCUAGUUUUAACUCUCUAGAAUUUCUUUCUCUAGUCUCUUGCUAUCAUUGGUCUAAAUUCUGGUAGAUGUUGUCCUAUCAUUUUGGCCUCAAAACAGCAUAUCAAGCAAUGGUCUAUUGUGUGUGGAUAAUAGAUAGAGUGGUGAAUUUUAAAUUUGGGCAAGCAAACCAUCAGAAGUCACAAACACAGACCUUUACACCCUAUUUCUACAUAUUAUUAUAUUGAAACAUUUUUUGUUAACUUUUUUGCCAGCACUUAUUAGUUAACAUGUCAAUGAAAGUUUCACUGGUUUUUACUUUUUACAUCAUAUUGAGUGGGAAAGAGUGAGAUAUGUGCAUUACAAUAUCGUUGGUUUCUAUUGAGUCUUCUGUCAUUUUCAUGGUCCGAGUUACAUAGUUAAAUAACCAGCUGAUCAAUAUUUUGCAUCAAACUCUCAAGUACAUUUGCUAAACAUAUAUAGAAAUCAACAUAAACACGUCAAUGACUGGAACCCCUAGAUUAGAGAACUCUUCAAAUUUCAUCUGAUAUCUAUUAUCUCCAUAACAAUCAGUAGAUGAAACCUUCCUAAACUCCAAUAAAUCCAACUUUAAAUGCAUAGUUUUAUAUGAGAAGGUUUUAGUUCCACAGUGGUACCAAAUCCUUUUUCAACCUCUAGAAUUCCAUACUUAGGUCAAACCAACAAAGAGUGUUGAGAGAGAGGGGUAUAAAAGGUUUAGGAACCCCUCAAAGCUCUUCUUUUGUAUUUACACAUUUAAACAGCCUUAUGGAUCUAUGCAAGUUUGUGAGAGUUGUAUUGGAUAGUAUCAGAAGAUAAAGUCUAAUUUGAACUGAUAGCCCAUGAUCUUUUAUCAACCUGUAGCUAGUAUAAGUAGCCAACGCCACUAGCAGAUAUGUACUGACUGAUUCACAAGAUAUGAUACUGAAAACAAUGCACUUUAUCUGCUGAAUGAUGCAGCUUAUUAUCAAGAUGGUAUUGCAUAUAUGUUCCAGUGCUGAACUGUCAACUCAUAAUUUUUUGCAACCAAAGCAUAUCAGCUAGCAUAAGUAGCUCUGGCUGUAGGCAGAUAUGUAUUUUACAAUAGCAAAGAUAUGCUCAUGCCCUCUCCCUCUACUGGUUCUUUUUGCUUCUCUCUCUCAAUCCUAGGACACUGACAUUGGUGCUUGUACUGCCAACUUGUUAGAAUUAGCCCUAAAAGCAAGGAUUACUUUUGAGAAUAUUUUAUCAUUUAAUAAUAAUAAUAAUAAUGUUUUGCACACUUCAUUCUCUUAUUGUUCCAUUGAGUACGAUUUAUAUGAGCAUUCAGCUGAAUCAGUUUCCAUUGUACUUGGUCUGUGUGUAUGAGAGUGGUUACACAGAGGGCACAAACCAUAGGUCACUUGUACUUGACAAGUGUUUACAACAAUUCAUGAGUUUGGGCCACUCAAUGGUAGUUGUAGUGUGUUGCUUCCCUAACUGGUGGGAUGGCUUAUCCUGGUCAUUAAAGCUAGACUUUAAGGCAUGUGUACCAGUGUAUAUUGGUUUAUACAUUGAACAAAACCAAUGGAGUGGUAUGUCACAAUUACAUUCACAUCGUUAUGCCUUCUCUCCUAGUUACUAUGUUGCAUAUGCUCUUAACCUUGAGAAGGUGUUGCACCGAUGUAUGGGUUGAUGGUUAUUUUGAGUUUCAUAAAAGUAAGAUCCUAAAGCAAUUGUAUAUUCUUGGAACUUGGAUAAUCAUUAAUUCAACCGUUGGUAACAAACAUCUUCAACAGAGGCACCGUGAUAUUUCCUCAAUGAGACCGUCAUAUCCCCUUGAAUAACCAUAAGGUGGAUGAUCAUGUAAAUCUAUUGCCAUAGUAAUUCUAUUUGAUUAAAUUUGAUAUUUAUCCUAGUGGAUAUAGAUAUAUCAAUUGAUCAUCACAAAGGUGGAUUUAUAACUCAAUGGAGAAAGAGGUAAACUAGUAAGUUGAUGACACUUCCUUUAUUGAGUUAUGGAUAUCAGUUCAUGGGAAACAACAUGUAGUGGUAUAGUAGGACCUGAACACAUGCAUCUUGCUUCUUUUUGUUAUUGUUGAGAGAGAGAGAGAGAGAGAGGAGAAAAACCUUAUUCACAUUCAUGUAAUAGCUAGUUACAAUUGAGAGAUAUAUAUAUACAAGGCUAGGAGUCCUAACUACCAUACAUGUGACCUAUAUUAACAAGGAAAGAUAGUAUACUAUACAUACAUUAUAUUCAACACUCCCCCUCAAGCUGGAGCAUAUACGUCAUAUGCACCAAGCUUGUUACAAAUAUAUUUAAUCCUAGGACCUCUGAGAGAUUUAGUGAAGAUGUCUGCUAGUUGAUCAUUUGAAUUGACAAAACUUGUAGCAAUACAUCCUGAUGCGAUCUUCUCUCUAAUGAAAUGACAGUCAACUUCAAUAUGCUUGGUCCUUUCAUGAAAGACUGGAUUGGAUGCAAUAUGUAAUGCGGCCUGGUUAUCACAGAUGAGUUUCAUCUGUUCAUCCUUUCCAAAUCUCAAUUCCUGAAGAAGAUGUCUCAACCAUAUGAGUUCACAUAUUGCCAAAGCCAUAGCUCGAUACUCGGCUUCAGCGCUAGAUCUGACCACUACAUCUUGUUUCUUACUCUUCCAAGAUAUUAGAUUACCUCCAAUAAAAACACAGUACCCUGAAGUGGAACGUCUAUCUGUGGGUGAGCCAACCCAAUCUGCAUCUGUGUAACCAACAACUUGAGUAUGACCUCUGUUCUCGUACAAUACACCUUGGCCUGGUGUACUUUUGAUAUAUCGAAGAAUACGGAUUACAGCAUCCCAAUGGCUAUCACAUGGUGACUGUAGGAAUUGACUGACAACACUCAUAGGAAAAGAAAUGUCUGGACGAGUAAUGGUGAGAUAGUUCAAUUUACCUACGAGCCGUCGAUAUCUCCCGGGGUCUCCUAAAGGCUCCCCCUGUCCUGGUACAAGUUUGACAUUCGGAUCCAUAGGUGUGUCUAUCGGUUUACAGUCUAACAUACCGGUUUCUUCCAGGAUGUCUAAAGCAUACUUCCUUUGGGAAAGGACCACACCAGAACUGGAUUGAGCUAUCUCAAUUCCCAAGAAAUACUUGAGUUUCCCCAAGUCUUUGGUCUGAAAGUGGGUAAAAAGAUGUUGCUUUAGUUUCUGAAUACCAUCCUGAUCACUGCCUGUAAUGACGAUGUCAUCCACAUAAACAACCAGAUAAAUACACUGCCCCAAGGAGUUAUGAUGAUAAAAAACUGAAUGGUCUGCUGUACUGCGAAGCAUGCCAAACUCUUGAACAACAGAACUAAAACGGCUAAACCAUGCUCAAGGAGAUUGUUUCAAGCCAUAUAGUGAACGGCGUAACCUGCACACUAAACCAGACUCCCCCGGAGCAACAAAACCAGGAGGUUGCUCCAUAUAAACUUCCUCGGCAAGAUCACCAUGAAGGAAGACAUUUUUAAUAUCCAACUGAUAAAGAGGCCAAGAACACAUAGCAGCCAUGGAGAGAAGCAAGCGGACAGAAGCAAUCUUGGCAACAGGGAAGAAUGUGUCACCAUAAUCAGAACCAUAAACUUGAGUAUAGCCUUUAGCAACUAAGCGGGCCUUAAGGCGAUCAACCUGACCAUCAGGACCAACCUUAACUGCAUAGACCCAACGACAACCAACUGUAGAUUUACCAGAGGGUAAAACAACAAGAUCCCAAGUGCCAUUAGAGUGCAGAGCAGCCAUUUCAUCCACCAUUGCCUGUCGCCAGCCUGGAUGGGAAAGAGCUUCAUGGGUGCUCUUUGGAAGAGAAACAGAGGAUAUAGCAGAAACAAAAGCAGAAUAGGGUGAAGAUAAUCGAUGAUAACUUAAAAAAUUGUAAAUAGGAUGAGGAUUACGAGUAGAGCGAGUACCUUUCCGAACAGCAAUGGGUAAGUCAUUAGGAGAAGGCAGAGCCGGGGCAGGUGAAGCCGAAGGGAUAGGAAGUGAGUCAGCAGGCGCCUCAGGAAAAGGGAGAGGAGCAACGACACGAGGGCGAAGAUGAUAAACCUGAAGUGGUCGAGGGGGCAUAGCAUCAGGUGGGGAGACAAUGGGAAUAGGCAAGACUUCAGAAACAGGAAGAGACUCAGAAGUGGUGGAAAAGAAUGGUUAGUCCUCAAAGAAGGUGACAUCAGCGGAGAUAAAGUACCGAUGAGUCUCAAGGGAAUAACAACGAUAACCCUUCUGAAGUCUAGAAUAUCCCAAGAAGAGGCACUUCAUGGCUUUGGCGGAAAGCUUGUCCUGUCCAGGAGUGAGAAUAUGAACAAAGCAAGUACAACCAAAGACACGAGGAGGAAGGAAAUAAAGUGGUUGGUCAGGGAAAAGAAGGGAGUGAGGAAUCUGAUCGUGUAAGACAGAGGAGGGCAUACGAUUAAUCAAAUAACAAGCGGUAAGAACAGCGUCCCCCCAAAAGCGAAAAGGAACGUGACUAUGGAGGAGGAGAGUACGAGCUGUCUCAACAAGAUGUCGAUUCUUGCGUUCAGCUACCCCAUUUUGUUGAGGAGUAUGAGCACAAGAAGACUGAUGAAGAAUCCCAUGAUGAGACAUAAACGAAGUAAAUUGGGCUGAAAAAUAUUCCCUGGCAUUGUCACUGCGUAACACACGAAUAGAAAUAUUGAACUGGGUUUGGAUUUCAGUAUAAAAUUUCUGGAAAAUAGAGAAUAACUCAGCUCGAUUUUUCAUUAAAAAUAACCAAGUACAUCGAGAAUAGUCAUCAAUGAAAGUGACAAAAUACUGAAAUCCUAAAGUAGACGCAGUUCGACAAGGACCCCAAACAUCAGUGUGGACAAGCUCAAAAGGAGACUUUGCCCGAUUAUUCAAACGCUUUGGGAACGAGACACGAGUAUGUUUCCCAAGCUGACAUGACUCACACGGAAGCGACGACAAAGUGGAAAAACGAGGAACCAUCUUCUGGAACUUGGAGAGACUAGGGUGGCCCAAACGAUUGUGAAUGAGGAGAGGAGCAUCAGUGGAAAUGCAAACUGCAGGAGAUGAAUCUGAGGUGAGGUGAUAGAGGCCUUGAGACUCACGUCCUAUGCCAAUCGUCUUCCCCGUACUCCGGUCCUGCAAGGUCACAAAUUUAUCAGAAAAGGUAAUAGAGCAAUUAAGAGUACGAGUGAUUUUGCUGAUGGAAAUAAGAUUAAAAGGACAUUCAGGAGUAUAAAGGACAGAAGUGAGAGGUAGAGAAGGCAGAGGAAGGGCCAAACCAAUACCUUUAGCCACAGUUUGAGAACCAUUAGCUAAGGUAACAGUAGGUAAAUCAAAGGUAGUAGUAAUAGAGGAGAAAAGAUCCUUAUUACCAGAUAGGUGAUCAGAUGCUCCAGAAUCUGAAAUCCAGGGUCCAAGAGAAGAUGUGUGGGUAAGGCAGGCAGAGGCAUUACCAGGCUGGGCAACAGAGGCAAUAGAAGCCUGAGAUGUCUGAGAUGCGGAGGAGCUCGGAGGCUGAGGCAGCGGAGAAUCAGAGGACUGGGCCAUAUGGGCAGUGCGAGGAGGUCUUCCAUGUAACUGAUAGCAACGAUCGCGAGUGUGGCCAAGUUUAUUGCAAUAGGUGCAAUGAGGACGUUGGCCUCUACCUCGGGUACCACUGCGUCCUCCUCGAGAGGUAGUUUGAGAAACUAACACAGAAGAAUCUGAAGCGCUAUCAGAUGGCACAGUCUGAGUGGACGAGAUACGGAGGAGGCGAGCAAACACAUCAUCCAAGGACGGAACUGAUGAACUACCAAGAAUCUGAUCACGAAUAGGCUCAAGAUCCGGACGGAGGCCAAUAAGAGUAAGGACCAUGAAGAACUUGUCAAGCUGUGUUUGUUGAGCCCCAACAUUAGGAGUAAGAGGCAUCACAGUCAAGAACUGCUCCUUAAGAGAGGCAAUCUGACCAAUAUAAGUAGAUAGAUCCAAGUCCUGUUGGCUGAGAUGGACAAUAGCAGAAGCCACCUUAUAAAGACGCUGGAUAUCAUUCGUGUAUAAUCCUUUGGCCUGAGUCCAAAAUUUAAAACAAGUUUUAUAGGCCUGAAGAUGAAGAAGAAUCCGGGGAUCAACCGAUUGCCAUAAUACACUACAUAACUGUGCAUCUAUCUUCCUCCACUGUACGCGGUCAACCUCAGGGAUAUCUGCCUCCUGGGUAACCAAGUGAUCCUCAUAUCCUUGACCCAUAAACCAAAGUUCAACAGAGGCAGACCAGGAGAGAUAAUUCUCACUGCAAACCAAUUUCUCUGAGGUAAUCAGAGGAGAUCCAGAGAGAACAGAGGUAAAGAUCUGAUUUUUGGUGGUCAUAUUCACGUAUUUGGAUCGAAGAGAGCCCUAAGAUGGGUUCAGAUUUCGGCGGAGAGAGAAAAACAGUGAAACCACGGCUGUGAGAGGUGCAAUCAAUGGAGAAAAAAAGGUCAUGUCGUGCCUGGAGAGGAAGAGAAGCAGCACCCAAGCCUCGGAGAUGGAGGGGGAGCCCUGUCGGAGGUGGCCGGAAUGGCAAGAAAGCCAAAAACAGGGAAAAAAUGGAGAUGCAGGGCUCGGGGAGGACUGCCGGAGGGCUAGAAGGCCAAGACGGCGCCGGACGAGCCUGGAAAGGUGUCGGAAGUGGCCGGAAAGUGAGCCACGCGCCGUCACGCGCCGGCGCGUGGGUGACAGUCCAGAGGAGAAGAGCGGCGCGUGAGAUUCCGGUUGCCGAUGGGGUUUCCACUGGCGUGUAGAUCAGCCUCCGGCGGUUCGGAAUAUGUGGUCGUUGCCCGGAAAAGAGGUCGCCGGAAAAUUUCGUCGGAAAAGGUUGCCGGCGUGGUGGAGAUCCGACGGCGAUGAGGUUGUCCGGGGUGGUUCGGGAAGAGAAUGAGGGGACCGGAGUGAGACACGGUCAUUGGACGGUUCGCCGGAAUUGAGUACACGGCUAAACCGAAAAAAAAAAAUUAGGUUUUCUCCUUUGGCUCUGAUACCAUGUUGAGAGAGAGAGAGAGAGAGAGGAGAAAAACCUUAUUCACAUUCAUGUAAUAGCUAGUUACAAUUGAGAGAUAUAUAUAUACAAGGCUAGGAGUCCUAACUACCAUACAUGUGACCUAUAUUAACAAGGAAAGAUAGUAUACUAUACAUACAUUAUAUUCAACAGUUAUCAUAGAAUAUAGAAGUGCAAUUAAUCUUCUUUAGUGGAAUGAAGAUUAAUUAUAAAACAUUGAGAUUCUAUGGGAACUGAUUAUUCUAUGGGUUCGGUGGUCCUCACCCAAGCAAUCUUGGUAUGUAUGCACAAUUUAAAUGGUUUGAUGGAAGACUAGGGUGUACCAUAGUCUUGGGUGUACCUUGGAGCAUGGGAUUGGUUCGUUAAAGGCAAGGUGGUCCUUUUGCUUGCUAAGGGCAUGGUGGACUUUUUGCUCUUAGGGUUAGACACCAUAUAAAGCAGUAUAGGGCUGUAUAAUAAAUAGAAUUUGGAGAAGAAAAAUCAAGGCCCCCUUGGUUGUGCCACCACUCCCUAGGAUCUCACUAUUGGUGUUUCCAAAAGCAUAGAGAUUGCCCACACAUUUGUGCAUACUUAGAGAUUGUCAUUGUGGUGAAAGAUUGUUGAUGAUUUGGAAGCAAAAGGCCAUCAAAGGGUUCUUCAAGGCUUGUGGACUGCCUAUAUAAGUAUUUACCCUAGAUUUCAUUUUUAGAAUUAAAAGGAUCAGUUUCCACUGCAUACUAGCAUCUCCAUGCAAACCAACACAAUUGAUGUUCAUAUUAGGGAACGAAGGAACAAUACUCAAAACCUGAGCUAACACCACACUACCCCUCCCUUCCUGUGGGCAAAAACAAAAAAAACCUCUACUACGUGUAUGCUAGGAUUUUGCUUCUCUUGUAGGCUAAUUUUGCACUUAAAUAUUACAUGGUAUUUUGAUUAACAAGAUAACAUAGAGCUGCUUAUCGGUAUUGGUGUUCUACUCCUAACUGUCAAAACUGUUGUUAGAGGGGCUGUGUGACUGAUGAAGCUAGAGCACCAUGUAUAAAUACACUCCAUAGUUUGGGGCACUAUUAUUAUGUACCUUGUAUGUAACUAUAGGCACAUGUGUGAAUUAGACAAUCAAUAAAAAGUCUAGGAAAACUUAUAUCGAGGUGGCAAACCACUAAGAGGAGAGUGAAAGUAUUGGUCAGACUGUAUCUGCACAAGAAUGUGGUAUAAUUCCCCACAUCAUUUGUUAUACAAAAGGAAAAGAAAGGAAUGUAUUGUUGGAGUACAUCUCUGUUUAACUUAAAAGACAAAUUCAAACACGCCCAACUAUAAGGUCUUCUUCAUGUUUUCCUCAGACUUCAAGAAAGAAUCUCUUUAAAUAUACACAUCCAACCAAUACAGUAAAAGCAUUAAUAUAGUCCCAUCUUAUAUGAAGAAUUCUCAAAACACUUCAUAAAUUCAAGAAGAGUAAUGCCUGUUUUCCUACAAGUAUUCUCAAAAGUUGUCUAAGAGUAGCCUGUACUAAUUCAGGUGACCACACUUAAUUUAGGGCAAUAAAAUUCUUUAAGGAAGUCAGAUGAACAAUAUUAUGAGACCACCUCAACACCAAGCUCACUUAGUAAGGAUUUCAGCCAUGCAUCAAUGAAGGCGCAGUGGACCACUUCAGGCAACACCAACUAGUUGAACAAGCCAAAAAAAUGCCAUGUAGACUUUUUAGUUUGCAUAAAUUAUUUGUUGGUACAACAUAGUAGUCAGAAGAAAAUAUUUCUCCUUUUUUUCCCAAUCAUGCUCAUUUCACCAAUUCUCGGAAAAAUUCCCAGUGAGAGUAGAAGUAUGAUAAUAUGAGAUUGGAUAUUUUCUGACUUCUCUCAAAUUCCAUAGCAGUUGUCUCUAUUUCAGCCUUCAUGAAAACUCUAAAAAAUAUCACAUAUAAGCCAAGUAAGAUACCUCAUUCUAUGAUUCAGAUGUAUUAUAUGCAUGAAAAAUCUAUUACAACUUUUGUCCUAAUCAAAACUACACUCUCUAAGUGGUGGAAAGGAGUCUUUCUUAACUCUGGGAGCACAUGAUGAAAACAUCAGAACUAUGUGCCCCAAAUUACAGGAGCAAGGAUCAGUGAAGAAUGAGCUCACAAGAACUAAAUAUGUUUCAUAGUAGGGGCAUUGAGCUGGCAACUAUUCUGUAUCUCCCUGUGGCUGAUCCUAACCAUGCUAACCACAGCAUGAAAAGGAAGUCCUAGAAAUGUCCAGUGCUGGGGAUGCUGAUGCUCUGAAGAUCAUACUGCAUGCCUUGUUAUCUAGAAGCAUGCAAGACUUGCAGUUUUCAAGAACAACUGCCUCUUUUUCUUGAUAUAUCCUUGACUAGCUUAAGACAAGUUUGAGUUUUCAGAAAACUUAAACCUAUUUCAUUUGUGAAAAUCAUAUAGCUCAGUAAAGAAGUAAAAUGGUAACCCUAUGAAUAUUCGACAAAACUGACAGCUAUGUUAUUAAAUAUUUGUUCAACUCCCAUGGUUUAUAACUAUUACUACAUGAUAUUUUAGGAAAUUUAUUUAUGUUUUUAAAAGAAAAUAUGUUCCCAUGGUGAUUAGCAGAAUAAAAUUCUAGAAAAAUAAAGGAAUGGCUACUUUAAUGUUCAAAAUUUUAGAAUUUAAAUUUAAAAGGAAGUUAGUUUCCAUUGCUUUCUUGAUACAAAAAUUAGGAAUUCUUUUUUACUUAAUUUUUUUUUUCCCGAUAGGCAAGCAAACAAAAUGAAUUAAGUGGUGCCUCACAAAAAGAGGGAGCACAAUCCAAGUACAUGAUUCCUUUUUUACUUACAGUCUAUGCUCAAGAUAUGUUUGUUUCUAUAUUUUCAUCAACUUGCUAUUUUUAGUCCAAAUUUCAUGUACACAUGUUUACCUACCUCACUAUAUUCAUGUGUACACAUGUAUAUUUAUGUGGGCUCAAAAGUUGGGAGCCUCUUAAAAGCAUCAAGCAGACAAGCACUUCCCUGCCCCCACUUAGAACCUGGUUUUACUUUCUGCUUGAAAGGAAAAGAUCAAUGAUCACUUACCAAGUGGCAAGUCUCUUAGUGAAUUCUAUGAGUUAACAAGCCAAGCUACAUUGACACUUCAAACUUCUGUCAGACUCAACAAUUUUUGUAUGGCAAUCCUAAUUACCUUGUCUUUUUGGCAGAUAUAUUAAUUAGUGUACAACCCUCUUUAAGAAAAUUUAUAAUAAUAAGAAUACGUCUUUUCUAGGCCAAGGACGGAUGAUUUAGCCUAUAUGCAACUGAAUAGAACAAUGUAGAGCAAGUUUUAUAGUAAGUUAAUGGAUAGGGUUGUCAUUGGAUCCUUCACAUUUGUGUCAAAAAAUCAAGUCUACGAAGACCAAGAAAGAGGUUGAACAUAUCCAACUGAUACACAGUCCAAAUCCUAAACCUGCACCCACAACUGCAUUCCUUAAAUCAGUCCCUUCAAAAGAGAGGCUAGAGUUAAGCUACAAAAGAAUUCGCCUAAGCACAUAAACAUUGCUCCCUCUUUUAUAUGUGCAUACAUGCAAUGGAUACUUCCACCUGGCAUAUACAGCUAAGUAACACAAGCAGCUCACCUCCAACAGAUCAAGGAUAUGAAAACUGUAAAGUCUAUAAUGGCAACAACUAGUAGACUAUCCAAAAUUGGGCAAAGGCCAAUUAUUCUACAAGCUUAAUCCACAUCAACCAAAGCCCACAUAAACUAAAAAUUUAUCUCAACAGAUAAGAACAACUAAAACAGCAAUAAAUGAAGAUACAACAUCUAUCUUUGUCACUCAGAUAUGCAAUUUAUGAAGUAAAAUAAAAGCAGAUGGAUUUCAUAGAAAUAUUGAAAGAAGGAUUAGUGAUAUUUAUAAUCUAUUCAAAAGAUAAAAAAAUCUAUCAGUGAAAUUAAACCUAGAUAAUCAGAUCAUAAGGCAGCAUGUAUACUUCCAUUUGAAGAUCCCCUUAUAGUAACAUUCAAUGAUUGAAUAAAAAAUCUGACAGAGAAUUCAAAAUGAUAAAGUGUAAUGUUACCGGCUAAAAUGAAAUAAGGCCUUCUGUGAUACCCAACGAUUGGGAGCACAUCUGUGAGAAGACCCCAAAGAGGCUUGACAAGCCAAGGAAUAGAAGUUAUUCCUCCAUAAAUUUGUGCUUCAGAAGGUUGAACCUUCUGAACAUCCUUCAUAUAAUACUCUGUGCCGACACGAGCCAAAGCACCACCCAGUCCUUGGCUUAUCCCAUAAACUGCAACAACCCCAAAUACAAAACUCCAAUGCAGUUCCAUGGCAAGCAUUUUGAACCAAUAGAUUGGAGCACAGAUGAAAUCACAGAAUCCUCCAUUGGAUUCAUUUUCCUCCACAACCUCACUGGGUGUUGGAGGAUUCUCCUCCUCCACUAUCAUUCACUUCUGCAGAAAGAAAAACCAGGUAACAAAUCAGUGUUUCCUGAAACAGGUACCUUCAAAUUCUUGCAAAUACCCCAGAAAAUUUUGAGCAUCUAAACUACCUUGAAGACGACAACCACCCAGCUCAGAAAUCACACUUUCUUGAACAGGGUACCUUGAAACUGAUUGAAAUCUCUCAAAGAAAUACUGACACUCCUGAACUUGGUUUCCUGAGAGACAAACAACAACCCACUUCAAUAAUUGGUGUUUCCUGUACUGGGCAGCUUGAAACUGAUUAAAAUCCCUCAGGAAAAGAAUGAAUCUCUCACCUACUUUGUCUUUUUUCUGAUUGAUUUACAUGAAACCCAUACAGAAACUCCCAACAAAACUCGUAUAUUUUGACAUGGGUGUUGCUAAUUUCCCUAAAAUAAACUCCUAGAGACUCAUUUGAGAGAAGAAAACAAAAUGUUUUCAAAAUUAAGACAAAAAGAGAUCAAAAACCACCGCAGCUAAAGAGUCCCUCAGACACACCAGAUUUGACUUGACCAUCCAACUGUUUUCAAAUCUCAUCAGCUUUCUUACAGAGAAUUGUAUAUACAAACUUAGUAAACUUCCCCUCCUCUCCAAUCAAAUUCUGCCGGGUCAACGUCCACUUUCCUUUCCGAAUCACCACAAUAUACUAAACCCAAUGAAAUUCAUACAUAAAUUAAUAAAUACAAAAAUAUAUUCAUACGAACACGUGAAAUCCUACAAAUAUGAUAAUCAAGAAUCAUUCAAAAAUGGGACACUAAAAAGUUAAAAUAAUCUUUAUUUCGAAAAAAUAAUCCUCAUUUUUCCACAAAAAUUAAGAAUAAUAAAUUUUUUGGACAAAAAUAUUUUCUUACAAAAUUUGUUAUACCCAUUUCCCAUCAAAGUACUCUACAUAUUAUUUAAGAUUAUAUUUACUUAGAAAAAGAAAAGAAAAGAAAAGAAAUGCAGAAACAGUACAGAUUUAAUUUACGUGGCAGGUUCUUAUUGGUUCCAUGCAAAUUGGGGUAUGUCCACAUUAAGAGUGCUGAUAUAGUCACAGGCUGUAACGCAAAGAAGGCUGUGGGAACGAAUCAGAGGGAAGCGCGUGAGCAAGAAGUGAAGGUAGGUGGGUAGGUAGGUGGAUUAGGGACGAAUGAGAAUGGGGUGUUAUUAUUUAUUUACUUCACAAAACCCCAAGACAAUUAAAUUCGCGUGAGGAGCACGUUCAAUGUACUGAAAUGGGAUCUUUUAGUAUAAUUAAUUAAUACUCAUCAGGUUAAUUGUCUUUAUUAUGAUUUUUUUAAUGAUUAAUUAUGAGAAUUUUCUAAAAAUGAAUUAAUAUCCAUGCAAAUUUUAUUUAUUUAUUUAUUUUUGUCCUUUUAGCUUUAGAAUUUAUAAAAAUUAAUUUUUUGCAACCGGAAAAGAGUGGGGGUUAGGAGUAUGAGCAAAGGAAGAAGAAUUUUAAGGCCCAUUUGGUAAUAGUUUUUUUUUUUAAUUUUAAAAAUUGUUUUAUGAUGUUUUGUAAAACAAAAUUUGAAAUCUAAAAUGUUUUUAAUAUUUAUAGAUAUAUUUUAUAAAUAAUUUUUAUGUCUAGCAUUUUAUUUUUAAUCAUUCUACAUAUAUAAUUAUUUUUUAAAACAGUCGUCAUAAAAUAAGUGAAAAUAAUAUAAAAUAAUUAAAAGAUAUUUUCUGAAAAUACCCUAAACCUAUUUGGUAAUUGUUUAUGAAAAUUAUUUUAAAAUACAAGUUUUAAGAAUAGUUUUUUAAAACUAUUUUAUGAUGUUUGAUAAAACAAAAGUCUAUUUGAAAACCUAAAAUAUUUUUAACUAAUUUUUAAUAUUUUUAAAUGUGCUUUAAAAAUCAUUUUUAUAUCUAACAUUUUAUUUUUAAUAAUUUUACAUAUUCAUAUAAUCAUUUUUAAAACAAUCAUCAUAAAAUAAGUAAAAAUAAUAAAAAAUAACUAAAAGAUGUUUUCAAAGUAUUAUGAUAUUAAGCAUAAAAAAAACAAAAAAUAAUUUUUUAUUUUCAAAUGUCCGCAGCUUUUCGCUGAGAACAAAAAACUAUUUUAAAAAAUAAUUAUCAAAAUAUCAUUUUCCCCUAUUUUACCACUGUCCAUUCAAAACCCUAAUUUUUUUUUCUUUUGUUUUUUCCUUCCCUCCUUCUUCAUGAAAUUAUUUAGACUGACUGACAAUUAUACUUGGAUGCAACCUCCAUCCAAAACCCUAAUCAAGGAAAAAGAAGGAAAUAAAUAAGAAAACGAAAGAAAAGGAUAACUAGGGUUAGGCAUUGAUUGAAGGGAAAAAAAAGGUGGGGGUAUUUUGUACAUAAAUUUUAUUUAAUAAAAAAAAAAUUAACGCAUUUAACGUUCGUGGUGUAAGAACUAAGAAGAUGGAGCAUUGAAAAGGGUGGAAGACAAAUUACAGGAAGCUUCUUGGAAGAUGCAGGCAACUUACAUCAAAUUUCUUUGGAUGUCAAAAUUACCAUUUUACCACUGAGACACAGAAAGUGACAAAAAUGUGAGAUUACUUAAUGGGUUCUCGGGAUAUGGAGAAGUUUGGAAAUAAUUGUUAAUUUCUACGCCUUUAAAUUUUGGCAGAAAAAGAAUAAGAAUCUUUUUAUUUUUGAAAAAAGAAUAGGGAUAAUUACGUUUUAUUCGAGUGGUCCAAAAAUUAAUAUUUAGUCCAUAUAACUUAUAUAAUUAAUAAAAAUGAUAUAAGAUGUUAAGAGAUCAAUAUACUUUCAAAUUUCCAUAUAUUACCUUUUAAGGAUAUAAAAUAGUGAUAAAUUAAAAUAUUCAAUGACAUUUCACAUAAACUUUUUAAAAAUUUGGAUUUUAACAAUUUUCAUAUUACUAUUCAUGCAACCAUAAUAAUUCUAUUUUAACAAUUUGAAUUUUUCAUUGUUUUUAAUUUUUUUUAUAAGUAAUUGAAAAUCAAUAUUAUUUUCUAUUUUAAAUUAUAAAGAAAGAAAAAUUAUGUUCAAAAACUAUUUUAAAAAAUGGUAAUAUGAUUUAUAUUUUUUAUAUUUUCUUUUUGAAAAAAUAUUUAAUUAAAAAAAUGAAAACUAUUUUUAAAAAUAAAAAUUGAAAAUCUUAUUUAGUACUAUUUUUAUAUGAAAAUAAUAAAAAGAAUUAAAUUUUAUUCAUUGAUUAUCCAUUUUUUUUCCAUUAGUUAUUUUAAUAAUAAAAAAUAUAUAUAUAUAGUAUGUUUACAAUUAAACAAAGGAAUUGGUUUUUUGUGUGACUAUCUUUUACAUGAAAAAUAAUUAAAUAACCAAUUUAUAUAUAUUUAUUACUCUUUUUAAUUUUAUUUUCUUUAUUUAUUUUUUGUCUAAUAAAAAAUUUUAAUAUAUCCAUAAUUAACAAAGUAAUAGAUUAAUUGUGCACAUUUUGAUCUAUUAAAAUAAAUUACUUUUUAAUUUAAAUAAAUAAAAUAAAAUAAGUAAAUAAAUUUGGGGUUAUUUCUAUUUUUUAACAUAUCUUAUAUUAAUAUUUUUUAUGGUUAAAUAAAUUUUUUAUUAUUUUUGUUUUUAAUUCCAAAAAUAAAAUGAAAUAAAUAAAUAUAUUUGGUAUUUUCUAACUGAUCUUAUAUUCAUAUUUCUUUUGGUUAAAUAAAUUUUUUAUUCUUUUUUCUUUAUUUCCAAAAAUAAAAAGAAAUAAAUAAAUAAAUUUGGCUUAAAUAAUAGUUUUUAAGUAAUUUCUUUGUCUUAUUUUUAAUUGCAUUUUGCAUUGAAAAUAAAAUAAAAUAACAUUUUAUUUUUUUUAAUUAUUUUAAAUGUCAAACUAUUGGGAACAUAGUUUACACACUCAUGUGGAUAUAAUUUAUGCAUAGAUAUGAAAUUUAUACCAUUAUACAAGGUUAGUAAACUAAUUGUACAUAGGGUAUACAAAACUGUACAUUUUGAACAAAAUUUUUUUUUCUUGUCAUCUAAGGAUUAUACUCUCUUUUAUCACAAAUUCUUUUAUUUCAUGUACUUUAUUUAAUUGACAUAUAAUAAUUCAAAUACUUACCUUAAUAAUUAUGUUUAGAGAAAAAAAAUUUGUUUUUACGUUUUAUAUCAUUUUCUUAAAUCAAACCAUUGGAAAUAUGGUUUACACAUCAUAUGUGACACAUAAUCUAUACAUAUGAAUGAAAUUUGCAUUAUUGUAUAAUGAUGUUAUACUAACUGUACAAGGUAAAUAUUCAAUUGGACAAAACAAAUAUUUUAACUGUACAAGACAUAUGUUCUAACUAUGCAAGGGGUAUACAAGGUUAUCCUUUGUGAAAGAUUUCAAUCAAUUUUGGACAACUUUUUUUUUUUUGUCUUGUCAUCUAAGGAUUGCACACUCUCAAGGUACACAUUCCUCUAUCACACACUUAUCUUAUGCACUUUAUUUAACUCACAUAUGACAAUUCGAAUACUUAUCCCACUAAUGAUGUUUGAGAGAAAAUUUUGUCUUUCCAUCUUCUACUAUUUUUUGAACCAAACUAAUGAAAACAUGGUUAAUCUACUUAUAGUUACACAUUGAGUAGGGGGUAUAUGGAAUUUGAGUCACUGUACAAGAUAUUUACACUAAGUGUACAUGAUAAAUAUACUAUCUGUACAAGGAUGUACAAGACUAUUAUUUGUGAAUGAUUUUAAGUGAUUUUGAAAAACUUGUUUGUUUAUUUCCCCUAACCGAUGAUAGAUGACAUUCCUUACACACAUUGAUUAAACAUACAUUCAUCUCAUAUACUUUAUCUAACUUGUAUAUGAUCAUUUGAAUAUGUAUCUCAUUUAUGAUGACUGUAAAACAAAAUUAUACAACAAUUUUUCUUCUUUUUUAAAACAAAAUUCAUGCAAAGAUGGUUAAUCGACUUAUUGUCGGAUAUUCAUGAGAUAAUGUAUGAAAAUUGAGUUAUUGUACAAGGGUAUGCAAGACUACUUUUUGUUAAGGAUUUCAAGUGAUUUUGAAAAAAUUUCUCAUUUUUUUCCACUCAAUGAUUUUUCCGCACUCAAAUUCUCUCACUCAGAAUUGUUUCGAAUUUUAUUUUUAAAUUUCAUCAUUAAAAUUUUGUAAUUGCAUAUUUUGUUUUUGUAGUUUUAGCAAUGUUCUUUCUUUCCACUAUUUUUUUUUUUUUUUUGUGAAAUUUCAUCCAAAUGAAUCUAUAUUUAUCAAAUUUUUUACUAAAAUUAUCUUUAAUUCUUUUAAUAUAUUUAUACUCAUUUAUUUUAAAAAAUGAAAAACUAAUUUUUUUUGUAAACGUGUUCUAUUACCUUUCAAAUAAAAAAUUAGAUAAGUUUGAAAGUUAAUAAAAAAAAUUAAAUACCACUUUCAAUAAUUUUUAGAUAAAUUUUUAUAUAAUAUAUUUUAUUUGAAAUUUAAUUUUUAAAAUUUCACUAAAAAAUUGUAUUGACAAUUUUCUUGUUGUGAGUCAAAAUACUUUGCAUUAGUCUAUCUAGAUAAAAAAAAUUAUUAAUAUAAUAUUAGAACUUCAUAUCUUAAUUAUUUUUUUUAAUAAAUUUAUCUUUUAAAAAUUUUUAAAAUAAAAACAUUAAAAAUUAAAAAGCUAAAAGGAUAUAUUUGUAUAAUAAGAGUGAAGUGAUAGUCAAUUUUUAAAAAUUUUAAAAUAUGGUUAAUGUAGAAAAUAUAAAAAAUAAUUAAAAACAAGAGAAAAGUAUAAAUGAAAGGGUAAUAUAAAUUUAAAAUAAAAAAUAAAAAUUAAACUAAAAGAUAAAUACAAAAAGAUAAAAAAUAUUUGAAUAAAAAAUCCCAAAAAUCCUUGCUUAUAAUAAGAGUAAAAAGAUUCAAUAUCUUUAAAAAUGAAAAAAAGAAAAAGAAAAACAUUAUUGUUUUUUAUUUGACAUAAAAUACAAAUAUAGAUCGGAAGAAAAAGAAAAAAAAAGUUAGAAAUGAGUAAUACUUAAUAGGGAAUAGAAAAGGGAAAAAAAAAACACAAAAAAAAUUGAAAUUCACACUCACUAUGUAUCUAUAUAAGGGUUAAGGGUAUUUUGGGAUUGAUGAAAGAUAAUAUCAUUCUUCUCAAUUUUCAGACUUUAUUUAGUUGUUGGACUCAAUUAUGUAAGAUAUAUGGAGUAGAUCUUAAUUUUUGGGUUACGCUAGACCCAAAACACUAUUCUCCUAAAAGAAUAAGGGUCUUUUUAUUUUUGAAAAAAUAAAUAAAUUAAAAUUAUUUGAUAUUAUUCACAUAUUUUAAAAAAUUACAUUUAAAAUAUUUUAUGGAACAAAAUAUAAUACUCAUUCUUUAAUUAUCUCAACUCCAUUCAAUUGUGUUUUAAUUUGUAAGUAAAAGAAAAUAUAAAAAAAAAUGAUCGUAUUAAAUUUAAAUUAUUAGGUAAGGAUAUUAAUAAUAAGAUCAAGAGACAAAAUAAUGAGAUUAUCAUUUAAAAUAAGUUUCAAUUAAUCGAUUUUGACUAUGUAUUAAAUACAUGUGACAUGACCUAAUUAAUCGGGUUUUCACGAUUUAACGAAUUAAUAUUAUAGUGGUUUAUUAGAAUGUACGUGCGGUUAGGGUUAGAGAUGAAAUGAGGGGCGAGUGGGAAUCCUAGUUGUGGGUUGUUAGCUACUCAUCUGCUCCCACCUUUGAAGUCAAAUUAUCUUAUCCAUAAUGAGAUAAAAAAUAAAAAAAAAACCCAACUAAUCUCCAAUUAGUUUUUUGCAUUUGAUCCCCUUAGAAUUGAUUAUAAACAAAGUUGAAUUAGUUUUGACCAUUUCAAUCUAAUAAAAACAAAUGGCUUCGAUUGAAAUGAAAUCUUACUACCCAAUGUCUAAUAUGCAUUUGCUUAAAGACACCCAUGGUUUUAAAAACUCAUCCAAACCAAUUUUUAAAGUGAUUGAAAUUCUUCAAAAAUUGGAUGAUAAUAAAACCCUGGUUAAUUUAAUGUUUUUAUUGUUCAAAAGGGUUUUCUAAAAUCUAUGGAGUGGUGCUUGUUGUUUUCCUUAACUUGAUUUCAGUUUUAAAAAAUCGAAAAAUUUUCAAAAUUCAAAAAGUGUAACGGUAUAGGUUGAUUAUUUGAUUGAUCAAUUCUAUAUUGGUAUAAGAGCAACCUUGAUUGAUCAAGAUUUAGUUGAGUUCUACCCCAAUUGGUUGAGUUAAAUUUUUAGGUAAUAACUAAUGAUCAAGGGGUGGUUGAGGUUUCACCUCAAUCAGUCAAAGAUUUUAUGAUUCAAUGGUCACCUACAAUUAUAUUUUUUCUAAAAUGGUUAGCGACUUGGUCAAGUGCAUAGUCAACCAAUUACACUGAAAUUAUGUCUAAUCGAUAGAUCAACCAAUUAUAUUAGAAUUGUGUCUAAUGGUUAGUUUCACAAAAAAUCUGUAAUUUAAAGCUCACUUUAAUCAUUUAUGGUUUCAUCAACCCCUUAAUCUAAUGUAGCAUUAUUUAUUGAGCGUUACAAGAGUUAGUUAAGUACAUCAUUCUCUCUAUUUGUUAAUCCAAAAUUAGAGCACCUUAAUCAUAGUUUCCAUUGUAUUUGAGGGAAAACAUGCGAACAAGGAAGCUUACUUUGUAAGGAUUUGAUCUUGUCAACUUUUGUGACUUGUUUUCAAGUGUGAAGUGUAAAAGCCCAUUAGAGCAUUGAUUCCAAGUGUAAAACUUUGAUGGCUUAAGGAGGGUUAUGGUGUUGGCUUUUGGAAGGCCAACAGAAAAAAUGGGGAGAUUUUUAAAAGCAAAGUUUGCUUCGUUGUUGGGAAUGAGAGGAGAAUUUGACAAGUGGCUAAAAGAGUCUUUCCCACUUUAUUUGCCAUUACCAACUCAAAAGAGUCAUGGGUAGCAAAUAUGUGGGAGCAAGAUGGGGUUCUAGGCCAUUAGAGUCUAUUUCUCAAGAGAGUUCCAUGGUUGAGAGUUAUAGAUGGUGGAGGCCUUCUUGCGGAAAAUUCAAAAGCAUUUUGUUUAGGCAUGAUGUAGAGUAUAAAAUGACUUGGUCAAAUUCAAAGAAUGGAAAGUUCUUUGUUAAAGAUCUCUACUCUUUUCUAGCCCUUGGGGGUUCAAAAGCUUUCCCAACUAGAGUUGUUUAGAAUCCAUGGGUCCCAACAAGAUAAACUUUUUUGCAUGGGAAAUAACUUAGACAGGAUCCUAACAUUAGAUCAUUUGAAAAGGAGGAGGAUGUCUUUAGUAAAUAAGCUCUAUGUGUAAAAGGGAGGGGGAAUCCAUCAUCCACAUGCUUCUUUAUUGUGUUAGAACUAGAUUUUUGUGGCAAUUGGUUUUUUUGUUACUUGGGUUGUAGUGGGUGAUGUGUUCUUCAAUUAGAUUGUUGUUGCUAGGCAAGAAUGAAGUUCAAUAGAAAAAGGCGGAAGAAAGCUUAGUUAGCUGCUCCAUUGUGUCUUUCAAAACCAUUUGUCGGUGAAAGAAAUCAAAAGGCUUUUGAAGUUAUGAAAUCUUGGAUCAAUUGCUAAAAUCCUCUUUCAUAUAUUCCUUUUUGGAUUAAGUUAGGCAUCAUAUAGAUUGUAAUACUUUGUCUUUAAAAGCCAAGUAAUUGUAGGAACCAAAUUCAAGUAAUUGUAGGUAGGUGGUGUUUUUCCUUUGAUUGCCCUCUCUUUUUUUGGUUCUUUUUUGGCUUGGUUCCCUUUGAUGUCAUUUGGCGAGUAAACUUUCCCUUUUCUACCACCUAUUUUCUCUAUAUAUCAUAUUUUUGGUGUGCUUAUAAAAAGAACAUGUACAAAGGGACGACCCUUAAGCUUUUGAAAAACUCAACAUCAUAUAAUUUAUGGUCAGAAAGCCAGAGUACAGGGCAUGGAGGCCAUGGAUAAUCCUAGUUUCGAAAUGUAUACAGCAGCCUUAUCGGCAAUAUGAAAAGCCAAAGCUAGAAAUCUAUAUUAAGCAUUAUCAAUAAGAAUUAUAACAAUAACAGAAUUUUGAGAUAUUGUUUAACAAAGUUUAUUAUCCACAUCAAUGACCUGCAUACAAGGAACCACCAACAGAAAAGCAUUGAAGAGCUUGGGAACCCCAAGCUGAACCCAAUUCUGUAGGUCUUUCAUUGAUAUUUGUGGCACCCCCAUUUGUAAAGAUUCCCAUUCAUAAUUAUUCAAUUGGGCAUCUAAAGUUUCUCCAGUUUGAAUCAGUAGAUCUCAAGUUUGAUGGCCUUGACAAUGGCUGUGUUAUGGCACCUUCUCUGCCAAAGCACCAAGAUUCUGAAAGAACCAUUUCAAUGGUGAUAACUCCCUCCUUCCACCACAGGACUCUUCAGUUGAAGAGUGCAGGAAAAGCCCAAUUUGUGGUUGCUAACAGUGAGCCCAUUCUGAUUCAACAGGCUCCCAGAAGCAGCAAGAAUGAGAGACUCAAUCCUUUUAGCAACAACCGGCAAUUGGAAGAUAGGAUUCUCCCCCAGGAGGGGACAUGGGCAGGCAACUUAAAUCUUCACUAGCUUUAUAGUAAAACCCUUUCUGCACAUAAUACAUCAAGUAGCAUUGUGAAGCCCUCACCACCCCUUCAUCAACUUCAGUAAUCCAGGCAUCGUCACAUUUGUACCAUCGAUUUCUUACACGGACGUAAGUCACAUAAUGCCCAGAUUCUAGCAUCCCUGAAUGAGUAACCACAGCAAAAACCUCAAAUUCUGUACAAGUUUCCGAUUCGUCUCCCUCAAAAGUAAAGAUUCUGUUUCCAAACCUGUUCCUGACAAUGGAGGAGGAUAAGUAUGGAGUCAUGUCCAAGGAGAAGGGGAACUGCAGAUAUUGGUCAAUUUUCCGUGACAUUUUUCUGAUUGUUGAGUGCUCAAAUCGCUUUAUAUGUAGACAUAGUACUAUUGGGAGCCUUCUGAUGGACAUUUGCUUCAAUGAGUUUCGCCUUUCUUGACAGUUUUGGCAGUACAAUUUCUGGUCUGGACCCAACUUCUCUGGUCUUGUGAAGAGGUCCAAGCAGCCCAAGAGAGUAGAUAUAAUUGCAUUCUCAUUUGGCUUGGUGGUCCUGUUGGUCAUGCCUGUUGAAGGGCAAAAGCUCAUGUCCAAGUUAAGAGAAAUGUCCACACAUGGGUCAUAGGUUGUCGAAGUAAAUCCGCAGGUUGUACAAGUGACAUCUGAUCUCAACAGCCCAGAGAACGCUUUAUGAGCAAUACACUGGCAAUCUCUGUUAUCUGUGUAAAAAGAGAAAAAACAUACUUUCUCAUCAGUAAAACAGAUCACUUGGCAAUCUGACAAAAUUCUCCAAAAUUUUACGAAAAUUCCUCAACAGAUUUCUGCUUUUAUCGAUUUCCAAUUUAUUUGCCACAGCACACCACACCCUUCAUAAAUCCCAAGUCAACCCGACAUCAAAUAAUUACAAAGAAUCGCAAAUGUGUCACACUGCUACCAGGCAUGAGGAACAGGAUCUUGUACAUCACAUCUCAGCAUGUGAGAUGGAAUACUUGUAAUAUUGAAAUAUCAAUUGCCUAGGAAGCCAACAAAGCAGCAGACCUCACCAUCCAAUUACCUUUAUCUUGGUUUCCUGAUUUUCCUUCUUUCACAUGGAUUUGAUCAAGCAUUGAAAUGAAGAACUCAUGAGCAUCUUGCUGUUCAUAACUAGCUAGAUUUUCUGAAUGCUGCCACCAACUGCAGUCAUAAAACAAAUAUUACCUUCCAAUCAACUAAUAUAGUCGCAAAAUAAGAAAAGAUGGACAAAUAACACCAUAUUGGAAUCAUAAAAAAAUGGGAUCUUAAGAAAAGAUAAUAGUUCUUCCAUCGGUAAAAGCCAUUACUCACAAAUUUCAAUUAGAAUUGUAUUCAUAAUCCAGGAUGUCAAUGGUAGAUUUUCGGAUACCUUGCACAGAAAGAUGAACAAUUCGUACAAGGGCAAAGCAAUUAAAACACUAUACAGACAUUCAAUGAGAAUAAUGGUAUAACCAGAAUCAAUCUAAUCCCCAAUUAUUUGAUUGAUAUUAGGAGGCAUAGAGUGAAUUUUAACUAACAGUCUAUAAAUCAAUCCUCAAAAUUCAUAAAUUCAAAAAUCAAUAACGGCUAAAUAAGGCUAAAAACCAAGUGCAAAUAGGCCAAAAAGUGGGAAACCUGUAAAGAAACCGAGCAGGACUGUAAGGAGUCCGAUCACCGGAAAACACGGCUGAGAAGAUAACGUCAAUGUCACAAGGCAAACAAAGGCGAUCUGAGGACCUUCUCCGGCAAGAUUGGCGGUUGUGGCGGUCACUUAGGAAGUAAUUCCUAAGAGGUGGAGCAUGAAACAAUGCUUGCAACACAGAAUUCAUGAAGCAAGUAUUUCCCAGAUUGUUCAAUCCCCUCAAACCCAAUGGAAAUAUUGAUUUCGCCCUCCGAUCAGCCAUCGAAAUCAGCCUUUUCGACCUCUUCCACUCCAAUUCUAACCCUAAACCCAAUCUCCUCCUCUUAUUCGACUCCUCCACAACACCCUCCACCCCAUUUACAUUGCUGGGCAUAUCCAUGAAGUGUUUGCUCACCACAGCCCUAUCAAAAUCAGGAUCAUACACCUGAUCACGGCACACACAGCAGUAAAGCUCGGCCCUUUCAACGUCCACAGCAAUCUCAUGGCCGUGGUGCGAUUGGGAAUGCUCAUUUGCAUGACUAGAACAUGUGAUUGAAGAACAAAUCAAGCAGAAAUAGAGUCUACCUUGAUACCCAAAACACAAACUGCAUCUGGGUGUCUCUGAUUUGUGUUUGCUCACACUUGUUCUUCCAUAUGGGGUCGUUUUAAGGCAGUUUUGGAGGGUUUUGAAGCCAUUCAAGCCAUGUCUGAGCUUGUAAUCUGCAAGGUGUUUGCAGGGUUUAGGGUUUGUGUAUGAGGGGUUUUGUUUGGACAUGUUGAUGGGGAUUGAAAGAAGCUCUGAUUUUGUGAUAAAACACAAUGAUUUAUUAAAUAAAUGGGUGAUAAUCCCAAUAUAUAAUAAUUAAAUUAUUGAAAAAGUAGAUUAAAAGACAGGAUUUUGAGAUUGGAAUCGAGGUUGUAAGGCACAUAGAACAAUGGGUUUGGAUUAAAUUUUUUGAUGAACUUCAAGAGAGAGAGGGGGGGUGGGGGACUCAAUGGUCUGGUUUAGGCCAUGAGACUUAAUGGAGAAGGCAGAAGAGGUGCCUUUGAGUUUUGAUUAGCUGCACACAAGAGCAUAUUAUUUACCUUCCCGGGGAUCUCAACCGUUCAUUUCUAUUAAUCAAGUGGGUUGUGAAAGGAUAAGAAGGCAUAAUUUUUUCUUUUCCAUCAUACGGUCGGAAUGAUCUAACGGACGGCUAGGAUUUGAUGUUAGGUUGAGGAAUGAUGUGGAAGGGCCCAGAACAGUAAGCAGUCAACGCUGGUUGUUGACCUGCCAUGGUCGUGGGCCCUCCUUUUUUCUUUUGUGGUUUUCUUUUUGUCUUUUUAUUUUUUAUUAUUUUCUUCAGUCAAAAUAAAUGGAAAAGAUUUUUUUUUUUUUUAAAAGGAAUGGAAAAAAGGGAAUAAAAAAUUAUUUUGUAAUAGGAAACAUGGAAUGAGAAUAAAAUUCAAUCAUUUUCCAAAUUUUACAUGUUAUAAAAAAAAAUCUAAUGCCUUUAUUCAUUUUAUUUUAAAGUUAAUUAUUAUAAACAAAAAAAAAUUAAAUAUUUUUACAUUUGAUAUAUGAUAAAUGAGAAAUAAUGAUGAAAAUGCAUGGAUAUUGUUUUAAACAUGAAAAUUAUUUUGGAUUUUCAUUGAUCCAUUUUAAAGAGAAAUAAAUUGUGUAUGUAUAAUGAAAGUUUUAAUCUAUCUACAAAAAAAAAAAAAAAUUAUUUAUUAUAAAAUUAUUUUAAAUAAAAUAUUAUUAAUUAUUAAUAGUUUUUUAGCAAAAAAAAUCAAUUAUUAAUAUCGAUAGGGAAAGUUGGGUUUUCAUUCAAUAAUAUGAAAAUAUAUAGAAAAAAGAAACCUUAAAUUUUUUAAAUCAAUAUUAUCUCCAUUUAUUUAAAAAUGAUUUGAAAUAUAUAUAUAUUUUUAAUGAGUAAUCUAAUUAUUCCUUAAAACAUUUUUUUUACUUGUAAUAAUAAUUAACAAUUAGACUUUUCCACGUAAAUGUUUUUCUUUCUUUUACAUUUAUUAUUAUUAUUAUUAUUUGAGAUUUUUUUUUUACUACUUCUAAUAUCCACACUCUUCAAACUAACUCGCUAAAAAUUUUGCUAUGAGAUGUUUGUUCAUAAAGAAAAAAUAAGUUUCAAUAUAUUUAUUUUUAGAGGGAAAAAAUUUUCAAAUAAUAAUACUAAUAAAUUUAAAAAUAAGAAAAAACAUUUAUUUGAAAGAGUAUGGUGAUGAUAUGACAAGUAAAAUGGGUAUUUUAAGGAAUAAUUAGAUGACUCAUUAAAAGUGUACAUGUUUCAAAUGAUUUUUAAAUAGUUGAAGAUAAUAUUGGUUUAAAAAAUUUAGGAUAUGUUUGUUCAUAUAUUUUUAUAUUAGUAAGUCAAAACUCACUUUUAUCAUAUUCAUUAAUAUAAUUUUUUUUAAAUAAAAAUAUGAUAUAUGAUUUUAUUAUAAUAUUAACAUUCAUAUUUGAGUAAAAUUUAUUUAUAAUUAAAAAAUUUUUUUACUUUUUAAAAAAACUUGAAUUAAAUUUAAUUGAUAUUACAUAAAUUGCAUUUACAACUUUAAAAAAAAAUCAAAACAUGAUUUUUUUCAUCAAGAUAUUUUUUUUAAGUUCUUUUAAAAAAAAACAAAAACAUCUUUCAUCCAUUAACUUAAAAAUAAUUUUUUUUUUAAAUAACAAAUUUUAAAAAACAGGCAACCAGAACUUAAAUUUUAAUUUUAUGAUUUUAAUCACAAAUAAAAACCAUAAUAUAAGUAUAUUAGGAAGUAUCUUUUCAUAUUUUCAAACAAUUAUAUUUUUAAAAAAUAAAUGGAGAUUUAUUUAUUUAUUUAUUUUUUAAUAUAUGUAGGAUUACCAAACAAAACUAUGAAAAAAAAAUGAUAAAUUAAAUUGAAAUUACUAAUCAAUCUAAGGGCAAAUCAAAAUUUUGAUUUGGGUCAUUAAAUAAAUAUUUUGAUAUGAUAAAAUUUAGAAAAAUACAAUUGAAUUUAUAGAAGAAACAAUAAUUAUUCUAGACCAAUUUUGAUCGAUUAUUUUAAUUAGACAUUAUUUUUAAACAUUACAUUAAUAAAUUCAACACAUUAAAUCUCACUUGGUCUGAUUUAUAAAAGUGCAAUUAUGAGUAAAAGAGAAACAAUACAUCAUUUUCAACUAGUUGUAAUCCAUGAAUUUCUAAUAGUAAUUCUGUUAUUUUUUGAGUUUCAAAAUAUUUUUAAAAACUAUUAAAUUCAUUCAAUGAAUGUCAUAGAUUAAGGUGAUAUUUGUUUCUUUUACUUAAUUUUAAAUAAAACUUAAAACUAAAUAGUGUUUAAUAAUAUAAAAUAUUAUGUUGUUUGUUUUUAUAAUAUUUUAUUUUUAUUAAAUAUUAAAAAGUAAGAAAAAAUCAAUAUAUUUUAUUUUUUUCCAUUUAUAAAAAAUUAAAUAUUUUGAUUUUUUUCAUUCAAUAAAAAAUUUAUAAUAAAUCAUGAAAAAGUAAAAAUAAAAAACAAAUAACUUAAAGUCCAAAAAUAAAUUAUUUUCAACAAAAAACUAAAAAAACAAACACCUUUUAAGUCUUUCUUAAAUUUAUUACUACUAAUUUUUUUUUAAAAGAUAUAAUAAUAUGUAAAGAAUAAACUAAUAAAAUUAUUCAAAAUGAGUUUUGAUUUAUGACUUUUAAUAUUAAUUAGAUUAGUUUUAAAUUUUGUGACUUUUUAUUAUUAAUUAUGAAGUUUGAGUUUAAAAUUAUUUAAAAAAAAAAAAAUAGGAAAUGAGAAAAAGAGAGAGAGAGAUCAUCUUUAAUGAUUUUGAGCAUUAGUUCAUAAAAGAGAAGAAAUUGUAUUUUACUUUAUUCUCUAUUACAUUUUAUUUUUAAAAACUAUUUUUUCCCAAAUAGUUAUCUAACAAUGUGAUGAAAUUUUAAAAACAGUUUUUUGAAAGAAAAUUCUGAAAAAUAAAAAACCGUAUUUAAAUCACACUGAAAAGACUCAACAAUUUACACUUUGUACUCGUUUUAAUUUGGAUUAAUUUCGUUUACCUCUCUUGAGGUUCUGACUAAAUAUAUCUAACCUUCAUAGGUAUAAAGUUUCAUCAAAUACCUUUUUUAUCCUUUUCUUUUCUUAUUUUUAGUCACCUCCCCUCUCGGUGAAAAUAAGAGUGGUGCAUAAUGAAAUUUCAAAUUAUGUAUUUAGCCAAAACCUCGGGACCAUUUUAGUUUUUAUCCUAUUUGAGAAUGUAGUGGACUCCAAGGUGGGUAACAUUACAAGUCCCUGUUUUUUGGGUUCAUCUUUUGCAUUCUUUUUUACAUAAUUUUUACAUUCUUGUGACACAUGUGAGAUUAAUCAUUUUUAUAAUUUUAUUGCCUAUAAAUAUUUUUCUUAAACAACAACAUUCCAUAAGAUGAAGACCAAAAGAAAAACAAACAAACAAACACUCGGUGACCAUACUCCAUAAUGAGCAAAUAAGUAAUCAAAAUUCAAUAAAUUUCUUCAUUGAGCUUCUGCAAUAUGAUUAAACACCCUCUCAUAAUAAAUCAGAUACAAAAUCUUUUGAUUGACACAAUCACAUACAUGUAUAUUUAGGCAUAUAUUAAUUAAUGACAUUGUGGGCAUUUGAGGCAAAUGAUGAAAAGAAAAAGAACAUGUUUUCCACAUUAUGAUUUAAAGAGAGAAAAGCAUACCUUUUGUCUGAAGCAAGCAAGAAACAGUAGGGGCCAUGGUGUUCAUUUUCUACCUCCAGUACUGAUUUGCCCUUUUUAGCUUUGUGGGCAUUUUGCUUUGAAGGGCUUUAUUGCACAUGAUUCAUUCAACAAGCUUACUGGGACUAUAUGUAGUCAUUGCCAUUCAUCAUCUCAGUUGCCACAAAAGAAAAGCUCUCAGGUCUCAACCACUCCCUUUUAACGAGAGACAGUGACCAGAGCUUUGUUUGAUCACAAGAUAAGGCUUGUUUUUAUGGACGAAUUGAUGAAAGCUGAAUAAAUUCAUGUGAAAUAGAAGUAACAAUAAUAGGCUACAAGAUGAUUAAAGAGAAAAAUCAGUUAAAAUGGUAAUGCACAAGCAACAACAUUGAAGGGUAAAGAUCUGGCCACCAAGGCUAAGUUCAUUUAUAAUUUUGUUUCAAUAUAAACCAGGCUAACCGGAUUGCUACAGCAGAAGUGCAGAACAGUGAGUGAGGAGCAGUGUGGUCCCAUACAAGAACAAAGGGUUAAAAAGGAAAAGGAAACAGAAAAUAAAACAAGAUAGUAAGAGAAGGGGAGAAGGGGAAGAGGGCAAAGAAAAGAGAGAAAAAAAAUGAACAAAAAUCAGAUUCCAUGUGGGUUAAAAAUAUCAACUCCAGACAGUUGCUACAAGGUUAUGUGAAGAGGGAUACAUUAUUCAGUGAGUAGUAAGCAUUAAACCCUAGACCGAGGGGAACACCAUAGAUGCAUUCACUAAUUUGUUCGGUUAUGACAUCGAGUAGUAAGCCAUGUGCUAGCAUGUGGAGAAUCCUGAAAAUAGGCAAAUGAAUUAGCACAUCCACAUUUAGCCCUACAUGAUCUAGUUGCAACAUGCAACAACUAAGAUUAUGAGUAAUGAUGUAUAAAGUUCCUUUUCUUUUUUAGUUUUAAGUAUAUCAAAUUGCUUAUCAACUAAUGACUUUAGGCCAUUUAACAAAGAAAUUGUUGGAAAUACAUUAGAAUAAAGUGAUAGAGCCAUAAAAUCAUAUAGUAGCUUUUCUAGGACAUCAUGAAGGGAAAACGAUGCAUUACCAAUCUUGCAUCAUCAGUUAAGUUGAAAGGAAUGCAUAACUUUCUGAUAUUAAGUAGAGAUGUUCAACUGAAAUCUAUGAGAGAAAAAGCAAUUAGUCAUCAUGCUGAAUGCUAGCAUAUGGGCAAAAUGAAGUUCCCUAGUCUUUUUGACCAAACUUUUUGAGGGCCCAGUAAAAGACAGCAGAGAUGACUACGUAAGUAGUAUUAUUCCUUUCUACCACUAAGAAAAUUCACGCACGCACAGCUCAUCCAAUUAGCUAAAUAAAACCAAUAUUAAGGGUAGCUCCAUAAGAAAUCUACUGGUUCCAAGCACAAUAGUUCAUGAGACUCCACAUUCCUGCUAAUCUUGAUGGCAGAUAUUAUCAACAAAAAUGUAGGGUUAGCUGUGGCCACAAAUCUCGCGAUAAGACACUGUGGAUUCAAGCUUUAGGUUUGGUAUUUCCCUUCUGUGAUUAUCACUGAUGGCCAUUUUUAUAUUGACUAUAGGGUGUACUUGGCCCCACUCCCCCUAGAGGGCUAGUCAUUAAGUAUCCAAUAACACCCACAAACUGUGUGCCACAUUAUAGGUAAAUCCAGACAGUGUCAAAACUAGCACCUCUGGUUCCAGAAAGACAAUCCCUGCCAACUUAGCUAUUCAGCUACUUGUUCAGGUUCUUUAGUAAUUAUGACCCCUAAGCAGGACUUGAACCAAGAAUUUCCACUCUAUGAAGAUCACAAGUACCACACAUGCAAUAAGCUUUCAGACCACAGGUCCAUAAAAUAAGAAGAACCAAAUAUUUCAUCCAUAAUAAAAAGUUUUAUUGGAAAACCUAUCUCUAUUUUUUGCUUCCCCACAUCCUCACUUAUAAGACCCUAUCAGGCACAUAAGCUAGGCUAUCAGUGAGAUUGGGUACAUCAGCAGGCUAUCAUUGAGGUUUGGCAUUUGACAUGAAAAGAUAAAUAUCCUUCCCUGCUUUGAGCCACUAAAGCAUUCAGUCACUUGUUCACACUUUGAUCACGCUGAAAGAAAAACUGGGAGAUCAGAAUGGUUAUCUGUUUUCCAUUUUUGAUAGGUAAAGAUUGAUUGCAUUGAACAGCACCACAAAUGGCACAAAAGUAUACAUGUAUACAAGGAUGCCAACCAGCCAAAAAACCAAAGCAAGGGGUACACAACAAACAACAUCCACACAUUACUUAGAGCCUAACCACUCCACAAAGUCAAAAUGAACAAAGAGCAGUCACCUAUAGACACUCUCCCAUUCCAACCAACUAUACAUGAAAGAUUGUUUAAUUGUUUAGUCAACUUUUUCAAUCUUAUCAAAAACUCACCUGUUUCUCUCCUUCCAAAUAGUCCAAAAAAGGCACAAUGGAACAACUUACUGAACUUUUUUUCGCUUCCUUCUGACAAAGGGCCCCUGACAGCUCUGAAGUUCACUUUUUACUGAAGAAUUAAUCACCCAAUGAACACCAACAAAGGCGUAAAUCAACUGCCACAAUAAGACUGCUUUCAGACAAUGAAGAAUGAUAUAAUCAAUCGUUUCUUCUUCUUCUUUGCACAUGCAGCAUCUAUUAGGGAUCUUUCAAUCCUUCCUUUUAAGCUGAUCCAAAGUUAGAAUCCUACCCCAUUUGGCUUCCCAUGCAAUGAAGCAAAGUCUUGAUGGUACCCAAGAAUUCCAAACAAUACCAAAAGGCUUCACAUCAUUUCAAAUAAAACAUAAUUUUUUUUACAUUUUUAUGUACCACAUUACUCUUAAAUCUAGGUCUAAAUUCAUAAGACCCAAGGUCUCCACUAAUGGUCCAAAGGCAUCCAGGAUAGAGUUGAAAACAUCAUAAAUUCAGUGAUACCAAAUCCAACAAGGAAACCAUAUGCAUAAUUUGCUUUUGACCAAAUGUAUCCAUUUUCUCCAGGAACAAAACAAUAAUUUUCAGGAGUAAGGAGAUAUGUUUCUGAAAAAUUAAAUUAAGAGAGCUGAUGAUUUUUCUAGGCUUUUUAUGUGCCUAAACUGAAAAUGUAGAUUCAACUUAGGAUCUUGAGAGCUCACACUAAAGUUAAAAAUACAAGCACAAAUAACUGCUUUGUUAACACAAAUCAUGUUAGAAUCCGGAUCUUUAGAACUCACACCAAAAUUAAAAUAAGCACCUAUAACAUUUUAUUAAUGAAACUGAUUACUACUCAAAAAGAGCAUAUUUUAAAUAAUAAUUCUCAUGAGUUUCACAUAUUUUGAGUAGUAAUUAUGCCUAAAACACUCAAUUAACAUGUUGUUACCCUUGCAAGAGUUACUAACAAGUUUUAUGAAGUUUUGGAGUCAUUUCAAGGUAUGAUUUUGAAAAAUUGGCGACAAAAGAGAUGAAUCAAAUUGAAGAGAACAAAUAAAGUUGAUGAAGAUCCAAAUGCGUAAUGAAAGUAGUAAUGCAAUUGGUUUGGACCGAGAUUUGGAGUUGAUUUGGAGGUGAUUUGUGAUGUCCCACAUCGGAUAGGGGAGAAAGUUCCUAUCGCUAUAUAUGUAGAGACUCCUCUUAACCAAGUAGACGCGUUUUAAAGCCGUGAGGACCCCUUUUGGGUCCAAAGCGGACAAUAUCUACACGGUUAGGAGCGGGUCGUUACAAAUGGUAUCAAAGCCGAUCCCCGACCCCGGUGUAGGGGUUUGUUUAGCCUCAUAAGGGGUGUUUGUUUGUUUGGCCCCGCAAUCUCAUGGGACACAACGAGGACGUUGUGUCUGCAUGGGAGGAUGUUUGUGAUGUCCCACAUCGGAUAGGGGAGAAAAUUCCUGGCGCUAUAUAUGUAGAGACUCCUCUUAACUAAGUAGACGCGUUUUAAAACCGUGAGGACCCCUUUUGGGUCCAAAGCGGACAAUAUCUACAUGGUUGGGAGUGGGUCGUUACAUGAUUGAAAGUGGAUUCAAAAGAAAGAAAUGGAAGAAAUGACAAAAAAGAGUUGAAAAAUUAAAUAUUUACAUUUCUCAUGAUCAUGCGAAAAUCUCGCAUGGCUAUGCAAAAUGGACCAGAAGGAAUUUUUGCUGCAAACAAAAGGGGAACCUCAAAGCUAAUUUCGCAUGAUCAUGCGAAAUUUUCGCACAGUCAUGCGAAAUGCUCUAGGAAGGCGAAAAUUGUUGCUGUUGCAUUUCGCACAAUCAUGCGAAAUUGCUGGAUCUCAUGCGAAAUGACCAUUUUAUUACUAAACUCUAGAUUUCUUGGUGAAGAAGCCUCUGGAAGACCUCUUAGAUGAUGUCAAGUGUUCACUUGACCUUGGCCUAUAAAUAGAAACUUGAUUUUCUCAUUUUAAAGGGUUUUUUGGACAUUUCUAAUUGUAGAACUUUCCAGAUUUUCUCUCUCAAUAGAAUUCUCUAUUUUCCUUUAUUUUCUCACUAGCCAAACAUGCCUUGUGAGACCAAAUCUCCAAGUAUGAGUGGCUAAAUCUCGUUUUUCUCGGAGGAAGGAGGAUCUAAAGGCAAGAUCUAUGGUGAAUUAGAGAAAUGAGUUUGAAUUGCAAAGGUAAUUUGAUCGAUUGAUUAAUUGAAUUUUGGAGAUUUUUCUCUUCAAAUUAUCUUGGAUGAUUACUAUAAUGCAAACUAGGUAGAUUCAUUAAAUUCUUAAAGCUAGAUUUGAUGAGAUCGAAUAGUUGCAUUGUGUGAAUCAUUGGAAGAUAAUUUAAGAUGAAUUGAAUAUAUGAUUUGAAUUGAUCUCUUGGAUUAAAUGACCUAAUUUGAAGAGAAAUUAGAUCUACAUCUAAAACUAAAUAAAAAAUCGGUUUAGAUGAAAAUUUAGGUUUUCAAUCUAACUUGAUGAAAAUUAGGUCUCAACAUCUAUUGACCAUGGAAAUUGUUUUCUAGAAAAUCCUAACUCCGAGAAUUUCAUCUCCUAUUAAUUUUCUUCCAUUUCACAUUUCAUUUUUCUUUUUAAUUUGAGACCAUUGUCACAUUGAUUUUUCACUAUGAAUUUUGAAAUCAAUUUCACUUGAUCACAUUCAUUUCUUAUCAUCUCAUUCAAGCCUUAAUUACCGAGAAUAAUCCAUCCUAGUGGACGACACCUAAAAACCAUAAUACUAUGGUAGUUUGUACUAAAACCAUUUUUGAUCGGAUACAAACUACGCUAGAAUAGUGAAUUAGGUUAUAAAUUUUGUUUUGAUCCAACAAACGACGAAAAAUCAAUUGAUUAGAAACUCAUUAGAAUCCAAAUUUUAAGAAUUCACAAUUAACAAUUAAAACACGAGCACUCGAGUUCUUUUACUGAAACCCAAUGGCCUCAACAACCCAAAAUUCUUCACUCAAAAUGCCAAUCCCAAAUCUUACAAUGAAGCGUAAAUUAAACAAAACUGACGAGAUGCAUCCAAAAUCACCAGACUACACCCUAACCCUUAUGUUAAUAUUCAGAGUAGGAUCUUACUUCACAGAGAUGAAUCUGCUUUUCCAGAAAAACAAACUGAUAGAAGUUGUUACACAGAUCAGAAAAUACAGAGUAAGAAAGAAGAAGAAUUGUCUUAUUGUUUUAAGAGUACAUCGGUGUGGGUAUUUAUAAGCUAGGUGAGGUGGAUGGGUGAGUUGGUUUGGGAGUUGUUACACGGUUGUUCAGUUACAACUAUGGGAGAGGUGAGGUUAGGAUCUGUUUGGUUAUCACAAACACCCACAUAAAGAAACUAUGAU
rnacentral:lncRNA from 1 species